rfam:Monoraphidium neglectum strain SAG 48.87 unplaced genomic scaffold scaffold04133, whole genome shotgun sequence.
GCGCUUGUAGUGUAAGGGUAUCAUAUCAAUUUCCCAUGUUGAUGAUUCGGGUUCGAGUCCCGGCGAGCGCA